UACGCGUAAUGAUAAAGGGGGUGAGAGGUGGCGAAUUCGGAAGCAAGCCGGACGAGAGAAAAGGCUCGUUUCACGGGACAUUAAAUUCCGACGUGGCACGUCCACUCGCGGAUAUAUUCCUAAAAGGUUGUUGCGUCUAGGAAAACGCGAACACGAAGGAAAAAUGGAUGAAGAGAAAAUAGCUGGGUGAAAUUGGUGGAAGUUUCUCCCUGGCUGAGCGAGAGGAUGAAACCCAGUGACGUGUCAAUCGAGUGUGAAACGUUCGACUUCGUGAUUCGAAGAAGUUUUCUUCUCUUCUCGUUUGCAUUACGUCACCGGGCGAAUCCGGUUGCCUGAAAUCGUGAAACGCUUCCGUCGACGAUCAACGUCGUCCGUGCGCAUCGCUGCUUCAGUUUCGAUGGCUGUUUGCAACCGAUUUCCCACGCGAAAAUAGUUCCUUCAUUGGUCAUCGUUUGAAUUUCCAGGGCAGGGAAAUCUUCGCUUGCACGGGACGAGUUCGAUUGGUUCGCUUGGAAAGGACUUACGAUGGGAUUGCCGACGCCAGGAUCGUUUACUUUUCGGGCUGUCUUUGGAGCUUGUAAUAAACAAAUUGCUCGUGUUCGUUAACUGGUUAAAUUUUGGGAUAGAAAUUCUACUGGUGUGACAAUUGGGAACAAUCGAGCUUCUAAAGUUCUCCAUAGAAUAACUAUAUUAACAUACGACAAAACACGACAAGUCGUGGGUAAGAAACUAAAAAAAAAAAAAAGAGAAAAAAGAAAAAAUGAUGUAUUAUAUACUUUUAAAGUCAAAGAUAAAACAACGCUAUAUUAAAAAUGGUAUAUCAUCGAACGUGUUUUGAUAUUUAAACAAUAAAUUACGAAUAAUAUCGAGUCGAGUUUAAUAAAAUUUUGAUACACCUUAAUUACAAUCGAAACUGAUUGAAUCUGACCGAAUAAAAUCUGCGUUCAAACGAAUAAGUGUAUGAAAUCGAAUGAAUUGCACUUUAUUUUCCUAACGAUAUUGAAAUCAACAUUCUGCUUGAUUUUGAUUCAGCGAAACUCUUUUUCCUUAAGAGAAAAUAGAUCGUGUAAUCAUUAAGACGCCUUUUAUGGUGGAAUCGCUAAUCUAGGUGGUCCAUCACUUUUCUUCGCCGAGCUCGGGCAGAAAGCUUUCCGAUUGACGUGCAACUUGCUGAGCAGAGUAAUUAAGGCUAGUGUGUCGAUGAUCGGACUUAACCCAGCUCGGAACCAGAAAGAGCGCAUCGAUCGAUCUUGACGCCACACUAGAUUAAUCGUAAGGGAAGGAAGCAUCGUCUGGAUUUGAAUGGUACAAAUUGAAACCCUUGUAACUUCCUACUACUCGAGGGCCAAGGAUUUCCCAACUUUGGAACAUAGAAAUUCGCAAUUUCGCAAAUUCAAUGAACCGCGUGCGAGACGAAAUGGCUCCUCGUUCGAACGAAUUAUGUAUAUUAAUUGGAAUAUUUUUAAGCAGGGAUUCAUAGUAUUACAGUUUCAACCUUUACGAUCCGAAUCGUCCUCCUUAAGUGAAAAAGAUAUUAGUUUCGUGUAGCUAAAUCUCGGGCCUUAAGAAAUGAGAAAAUUGAAAACGUUGCUGCGAUAAGGAGGCAGCUUCAUUUUCUAUAAUAAUUUGAGUUACGUAACGAAAACCAGCUAAAAUCGAUCGAUCGAGAUCGAUUAUAAGUAUAAAUUCACGGUCAAUAUAAUAACCGUACUAAUAAAUUUUUGUAGCUUUCGAGACGAAACCUACGUCUUUCUUUCCCUUCUAAAAACUAUUAAUAACUAUAAAUAUUAUUUCAAUGCUAUAGUUGCCUUCUUAUUACUGCAAAUGAAUCUAAAAUGAUUCUAGUUGCAGCUAGAUAUAUGGAGCCUCGAGGCUUUUCAUACGAAUUAUAAAUUAUGAGUUAAUUGUUCCAAAUAAAAGUCUACGGUUGAAGAGAGGGAAAGAGAGGGUAGAAAGGAGGUCACUGUCCAAUUAAGAAAGAAAUUUUUGACAUUAAUUUAGGAUAAUCAGACAGCAAUUCUAUAAUGGAAUGUAGUUGUUAUCUGAAGCACGAUAAUUAAAUUUUAUAUGUUGUAAAAAUAGCAUAAAGUAAUUAAAAUUCUUAUACUGAAGAAGGUUUAACUAAUGUCUUACAAAAAAAUUGCUGUUAGAACCUAGAAAGUCUGUAUUUCUGUGGACAAUAUAAACAGAUGUGUCGAAGGAUAGACAGACGUAUUGUAAACUCGUGACGUACGAGCAAUUUAUGGACACGGGAUAUGUUGUCCCUUGGGCCUGGUCCUUACAUUGACCUACUAUCAUCACCUAAUCUCCCAAUGAUCAAGGUAGAUUACAUACACGAGAUCCUACGAGAAUUACCUAAUAAUUACCUAAGAUCAAAGAUGUCCACUGAUUCGUGAAAGAUCUGGAAUUAUUUUGCAAUUAAUUUACAUCUACAGUAGAUCCCUUGCUAAUUCUAUUAAAUUAAUGCGACAAGUAUCCAAUCACAACUUUCUUUAUUUCAAUAGCUUCGCAAUCUAAAAGUAUUCCAAAGUGGAAGAAUUCCAAGUUGAUAUCCCUUUCGAUUGACUUAAUUUUGAAGAACAAAUUUAUUUCUAUUGCAUAUCCUAAUAUUAAACGUACGAGUAACUUCAUAACAUUUAAAUUUUGCUCAAUUGAAAAAUCAAAUUCGUAAGAUAAAAUCUUAGUAACUUCCCAAUAACUGGAUCAAAUAUCUCUAAAAAUAUAUAUACUUUUAUACAAUUUAAUGCAAUUAAAGAUCUGAAACCCAAGCAUUUGUUUUACCCACUUGAUGUUGCAACGAGUAUUCUACUCGUCUACUAUUACGUAUCAUAUUCAUCGCGUGCAUUUUACCUUUAAAUUCCCCAUAGAUGCAUUAAAAUCCAUAAUCCGCUAAUAACUUUCCCAAUUUCCUCGUAAGCGUUAUCGUUGUAACGAUCACAAACGAGGGUGUGCCCCUUUCAAAGUUCGCUUAAAAAUAAUAACAGCGAAAGAGCAGAAAAAUUACACGCACAAUCGCGUCCCAAGAUACUGGAACAGAAAGAGUAGAGGGGUUGUAACGUGUGCCAAAAAACGCGGCCGGUAAAACGAGGAGGGAGAUCGAUCGUCUGGUUUACGCAAACGUAUUGACGUCACGUGAAUGCGGCCGUGUUAUCGGAUUGAGGCAUUGCCGCGUUGUUACGUAACGCGUGAGCAAAAGGCGAGUUCCACGACGACAGGAUCGUUAAUAACCUCGCAUUACAGCUUUCGCCGCGAUAUACGACCGCUGCGGCGCCCUCAGCCCGCGGGGAGACCCUCUACGAUCCCUAUUUCACGGCGAAUUAAUUAUCAACGUGGCCGCGUAGACUGUGAAACAGAGACGACGCCAGUUUCACCGCUUCCACCGAUGACAGUGCAUCGGAAGCGCAAUAGAAUUACGGACCUCAAUAAUCAUCCUGAUAAAUAAUUCUAAGCCUUGUUCUCUACGUUUCGUGCACCUGUUUCGAGACACAUUCGACCUAUCAGUAACUCAUCCUAGUAGUCGAAACUAGUAGUGGAAACCUUUCACGUAUAUGUCACGCGUGUUGUAUGAAACACUUUUUCAUUGGCGCUGUUGCGAGUAGAUGGUAGAUUUUUAUGCAAAUUCAUAUUUUCAUAAAUACAAGUGAAAACAAAGCAAACACUUGUUUCAUCCAUCGAAUGUUACAACGAGCAUUAUAUUUUGAAUUCUUAUGUAUUUUUACGUUUUAGGUAUGUGAAUUCGAUGUUCGUGUUUUUACAUGUUUUUUUAAAUGCGUAUUAAAAAAGUCCGCGAUGCAGUUAUGAGACUCGAUCACGAUGAUUAUAUUGGCAGAGUUUGGAAGAAAUUUGAAGAUACGUAUGGAAAUUAUAUUUAUGAUCAUUAGGAUCACAAAAAGUAUGUAACAGGUUGACUGCCAUGCAACUUUUAUAUAUUUCUCUCUGGGAGCAAAUACAUUGAAAUAUGCACUGUAACAUUCAAUAUUUGCAAAAUAUUAUAUUGUAGUUGUGUCAAUUUUUUUUUUUGGCAAUGUUAUUUAUAUCAUUCACGUUGAUAAAAAUGUUUUGUUCCAUAAAAUUUAUCUUAUCUUAAACAUUGUACAAAAUUUACUAAUCACCGAUGAGCAUCGUGGCAGUCAACGUGUUAAACAGUCAACUAUUAAUAAAGCACGACAUUCAACCUU